UUACAGCUUCUGGCAUACAGUGGAUAUUCAACUAAUUAUUGGCAUGUGUUCUUAAAAUGGUUGCUCAGAAGAUGGCCUGUAGACUAAACAAAAUCUGUGGAAUCUAUUGCACUACUUAAACAAACCAAACAACCGGUACUUAAAAAGACAACAGAAAAGGACAGUAGGAGACCCAAGGCACAAAAAUUCAUAAUUC
rnacentral:lncRNA from 12 species